CCUACGGGUGGCAGCAGUGAGGAAUAUUGGUCAAUGGGCGAGAGCCUGAACCAGCCAAGUCGCGUGAAGGAUGAAGGAUCUAUGGUUUGUAAACUUCUUUUAUAUGGGAAUAAAGUGAGGAACGUGUUCCUUUUUGUAUGUACCUUAUGAAUAAGCAUCGGCUUACACCGCGCCAGCACCCGCGGUAAUACGGGGGAGGCGAGCGUUUUCUGGAUUGAUUUGGUUUAAAGGGUGCGUAGGCUGGGAGGUAAGGCAGCGGGGAAAUGCCCCCGCUCAACGGGGUGAAGUGCCAUCGAUACUGCCUGGCUAGAGUGCGGAAGAGGUGGGAAGAAUGUGUGGUGUAGCGGUGAAAUGCGUAGAUAUCACGCAGAACACCGAUUGCGAAGGCGUCUCACGAGUCCGAGAUUGACGCUGAUGCACGAAAGCGUGGGUAGCAAACAGGAUUAGAUACCCGUGUAGUC
rnacentral:rRNA from 1 species